GUCGAGCGGGGUUGUCGGAGUGGAGUCCUUCGGGAUGAAGCACUGCCAACCUAGCGGCGGACGGGUGAGUAACGCGUGGGUAACCUGCCCUAAAGCCCGGGAUAACACCGGGAAACUGGUGCUAAUACCGGAUACCUUCCAGAGGGGGCAUCCUUUUUGGAAGAAAGGUGAACGCUUUAGGAUGGGCCCGCGUCCCAUUAGCUAGUUGGUGAGGUAACGGCUCACCAAGGCAGUGAUGGGUAGCCGGCCUGAGAGGGUGACCGGCCACACUGGGACUGAGACACGGCCCAGACUCCUACGGGAGGCAGCAGUAGGGAAUAUUGCGCAAUGGGCGAAAGCCUGACGCAGCGACGCCGCGUGAGUGAUGAAGGCCUUCGGGUUGUAAAACUCUGUCCUUGGGGACGAAGGAAGUGACGGUACCCAAGGAGGAAGCCCCGGCUAACUACGUGCCAGCAGCCGCGGUAGCACGUAGGGGGCGAGCGUUGUCCGGAAUUACUGGGCGUAAAGGGUGCGUAGGCGGCCUUUUAAGUCAGAUGUAAAAGACCACGGCUUAACCGUGGGGUUGCAUUUGAAACUGGGAGGCUUGAGUGUCGGAGAGGGCAGUGGAAUUCCCGGUGUAGCGGUGAAAUGCGUA
rnacentral:rRNA from 1 species